AAGAUGUUAGUAAAUACAUUACAUCUCCUUGUCAAGAAGAAAUAACGACCUAACCCCUCGUACAUCUUA
rnacentral:tRNA from 1 species